UUCCCCCCCAGGGUGGAAAUGUCAAAGACUAGAGGGCAGAACUUGAAGGUGAGAGGGGCAAGGUUUGAAGACGUGUGCAGGGCAAGGUUUAUUCAUACACAGAGCGUGGAGUGUCCCUGGAACACGCUGACAAACCCUUAUCCCACCAUAACGGCUGAUGUUUCAUCUGGUUUAUAAUUUAGUUUAGUUUAUAGCUUAAUUUAGGUUAGUACAGUUUAUAUUUUAGUAUAUUUGCAGAAUGGUAUUUCACAGU